rnacentral:lncRNA from 1 species
ACAUGAUAUCCUUUUCAUGACUGUUAAUGAUAUCUUUAAUCUGUGCGAGUUAUGUCAAAUAUUUACAUUUGGGUUAUCAUUAUGUCUUUAUUGUUUUUGUUAGUUGUUCUUAUGCUUUGUAUCGAUUUGAUCAGUUACGCUCUUUCAAUUGAAUUUACAGUUUGUAUUAUAACUGUCCUAAAUGAGGGGAGAGUUGGCCCCGGAAUCUGGAAUAUGACAUUUGUUUUCCAAUCAGUUCGUUGACUGAUGAAGUAAUUAUUUGGUUUUAUUUCAUAUCGGUCGAGAAUAAGCUUCUCUUAUUGGAUAAAAAGGGGCCACAUGACAUUCAUUAUUCUUCAGUAAUAAAUUCCAGCGGUCAUUAACAGAACAAAACGGACCAGAAAACCGGUCGUAAACGGUUUUUACAUGAUAAUGACCGUUUGUUAAUGACGGUUGGGGCGUGGUUUCUCUGUUAAUGACCGAUGGGGCGUGGUUUAUCUGACAAGAGAGAUGUCCUUUUUAUAAUAAAACAUUUUACUGUUUUCAAUAUUAUAUUUAAGUUGUUGAAUUGUUUACCAUAUGUUUUUGGUAAAUUAUAAAAUAAUAGGGAACUUGAUUGAGUAUUCAUAUACUGAAAAAUUGCACUAAAAUGAAUAGCAGUUUUACUACGACUUGUCUUCACUCUUUGCCAUAGAAAUCUUACAA